AGGUUAAGUGUGAUACAGGUAUAACAGGUAGGAGGCGGUGAGAUGAAGCUAGUUACGUGCGAUACAGAUGUAGAAGGCAGUCAGAUAAAGCUGGUUACGUGCGAUACAGGUAUAACAGGUAGGAGGCGGUGAGAUAAAGCUAGUUACGUGCGAUACAGGUAUGACAGGUAGGAGGCGGUGAGAUAAAGCUGGUUACGUGCGAUACAGGUAUGACAGGUAGGAGGCGGUGAGAUAAAGCUGGUUACGUGCGAUACAGGCAUAACAGGUAGGAGGCGGUGAGAUGAAGCUAGUUACGUGCGAUACAGAUAUAACAAGUAGAAGGCAGUCAGAUAAAUCAGGUUACAUGACAAGUAGGAGGUGGUGAGAUGAAGCAGGUUACAUGUGAUACAGUUAUAACAGGUAGAAGGCGGUGAGAUGAAGCUGGUUACAUGUGAUACAGUUAUAACAGGUAGAAGGCGGUGAGAUGAAGCUGGUCAUGUGCAAUACAGGUAUAACAGGUAGGAGGCGCUGAGAUGAAGCUGGUUACGUGCGAUACAGGUAUAACAGGUAGGAGGCGGUGAGAUAAAGCAGGUUACGUGCAAUACCGGUAUAACAGGUAGGAGGCGGUGAGAUGAAGCUGGUUACGUGCAAUACAGGCAUAACAGGUAGGAGGCGGUGAGAUAAAGUUGGUUACGUGAGAUGCAGGUAUAACAGGUAGGAGGCGGUGAGAUAAAGCUGGUUACGUGCGAUACAGGUAUGACAGGUAGGAGGCGGUGAGAUGAAGCUAGUUAUGUGCGAUACAGAUGUAGAAGGCAGUCAGAUAAAGCUGGUUACGUGCGAUACAGGUAUAACAGGUAGGAGGCGGUGAGAUAAAGC